rnacentral:rRNA from 1 species
GGGACUUUGCGGGUGCUAUACAUGCAAGUCGAACGAACUCUGGUAUUGAUUGGUGCUUGCAUCAUGAUUUACAUUUGAGUGAGUGGCGAACUGGUGAGUAACACGUGGGAAACCUGCCCAGAAGCGGGGGAUAACACCUGGAAACAGAUGCUAAUACCGCAUAACAACUUGGACCGCAUGGUCCGAGUUUGAAAGAUGGCUUCGGCUAUCACUUUUGGAUGGUCCCGCGGCGUAUUAGCUAGAUGGUGGGGUAACGGCUCACCAUGGCAAUGAUACGUAGCCGACCUGAGAGGGUAAUCGGCCACAUUGGGACUGAGACACGGCCCAAACUCCUACGGGAGGCAGCAGUAGGGAAUCUUCCACAAUGGACGAAAGUCUGAUGGAGCAACGCCGCGUGAGUGAAGAAGGGUUUCGGCUCGUAAAACUCUGUUGUUAAAGAAGAACAUAUCUGAGAGUAACUGUUCAGGUAUUGACGGUAUUUAACCAGAAAGCCACGGCUAACUACGUGCCAGCAGCCGCGGUAAUACGUAGGUGGCAAGCGUUGUCCGGAUUUAUUGGGCGUAAAGCGAGCGCAGGCGGUUUUUUAAGUCUGAUGUGAAAGCCUUCGGCUCAACCGAAGAAGUGCAUCGGAAACUGGGAAACUUGAGUGCAGAAGAGGACAGUGGAACUCCAUGUGUAGCGGUGAAAUGCGUAGAUAUAUGGAAGAACACCAGUGGCGAAGGCGGCUGUCUGGUCUGUAACUGACGCUGAGGCUCGAAAGUAUGGGUAGCAAACAGGAUUAGAUACCCUGGUAGUCCAUACCGUAAACGAUGAAUGCUAAGUGUUGGAGGGUUUCCGCCCUUCAGUGCUGCAGCUAACGCAUUAAGCAUUCCGCCUGGGGAGUACGGCCGCAAGGCUGAAACUCAAAGGAAUUGACGGGGGCCCGCACAAGCGGUGGAGCAUGUGGUUUAAUUCGAAGCUACGCGAAGAACCUUACCAGGUCUUGACAUACUAUGCAAAUCUAAGAGAUUAGACGUUCCCUUCGGGACAUGGAUACAGGUGGUGCAUGGUGUCGUCAGCUCGUGUCGUGAGAUGUGGGUAGUCCGCACGAGCGCAACCUAUUAUCAGUUGCCAGCAUUAAGUGGGCACUCUGGUGAGACUGCCGGUGAC